rnacentral:rRNA from 1 species
UCAGAGGUCUCAAGCGUUGUUCGGAUUCAUUGGGCGUAAAGGGUGCGUAGGCGGCGCGGUAAGUCGGGUGUGAAAUCUCGGAGCUUAACUCCGAAACUGCAUUCGAUACUGCCGUGCUUGAGGACUGGAGAGGAGACUGGAAUUUACGGUGUAGCGGUGAAAUGCGUAGAUAUCGUAAGGAAGACCAGUGGCGAAAGGCGGGUCUCUGGACAGUUCCUGACGUGAGGCACGAAGGUCAGGGGAGCAAAACGGGG